AGCGGGAAAAGCUCAAAUUUGAAAUCUGGCAGACUUUGUCUGUCCGAGUUGUAGCCUAGAGAAGUGUAACCUGUGCUGGACCAUGUACAAGUCUCCUGGAAUGGAGCAUCAUAGAGGGUGAGAAUCCCGUCUUUGACAUGGACUACCAGUACACUGUGGUUGCACACUCAACGAGUCGAGUUGUUUGGGAAUGCAGCUCUAAAUGGGUGGUAAAUUCCAUCUAAAGCUAAAUAUUGGCGAGAGACCGAUAGUGAACAAGUACCGUGAGGGAAAGAUGAAAAGAACUUUGGAAAGAGAGUUAAACAGUAUGUGAAAUUGUUGAAAGGGAAACGCUUGAAGUCAGCUGUGUUGGCUGGGGAUCAAGCCAGCUUAUUUGCUGGGUGUACUUCCUGGUUGACAGGUCAACAUCAGUUUUGACCAUCAGAGAAAGGCAAAGGGAAUGUGGCACCUUAUAGGUGUGUUAGAGCCCUUUGUUGUAUGUGGUGGUUGGGACUGAGGACAGCAGCGUGCCAUAUGGGCCGGGUUUCGACCACGUUCACGCUUUGGAUGUUGGCAUAAUGGCUUUAAGCGACCCGUCUUGAAACACGGACCAAGGAGUCUAACAUGCAUGCAAGUGUUUGGGUGGAAAACCCGAGCGCGUAAUGAAAGUGAAAGUUGAGAUCCCUGUCACAGGGGAGCAUCGACGCCCGGACCAGAACUUUUGGGAUGGAUCUGCGGUAGAGCAAGCAUGUUGGGACCCGAAAGAUGGUGAACUAUGCCUGAAUAGGGUGAAGCCAGAGGAAACUCUGGUGGAGGCUCGUAGCGAUUCUGACGUGCAA
rnacentral:rRNA from 1 species